UGGGGAAUAUUGCACAAUGGGCGAAAGCCUGAUGCAGCAACGCCGCGUGAGGGACGACGGCCUUCGGGUUGUAAACCUCUUUUAGCAAGGAAGAAGCGAAAGUGACGGUACUUGCAGAAAAAGCGCCGGCUAACUACGUGCCAGCAGCCGCGGUAAUACGUAGGGCGCAAGCGUUAUCCGGAAUUAUUGGGCGUAAAGAGCUCGUAGGCGGUUUGUCGCGUCUGCUGUGAAAACCCGAGGCUCAACCUCGGGCCUGCAGUGGGUACGGGCAGACUAGAGUGCGGUAGGGGAGAUUGGAACUCCUGGUGUAGCGGUGGAAUGCGCAGAUAUCAGGAAGAACACCGAUGGCGAAGGCAGAUCUCUGGGCCGUAACUGACGCUGAGGAGCGAAAGGGUGGGGAGCAAACAGGCUUAGAUACCCUGGUAGUCCACCCCGUAAACGUUGGGAACUAAGUUGUGGGGUCCAUUCCACGGAUUCCGUGACGCAGCUAACGCAUUAAGUUCCCCGCCUGGGGAGUACGGCCGCAAGGCU
rnacentral:rRNA from 1 species